GAUGAAGAACGCAGCGAAAUGCGAUAAGUAGUGUGAAUUGCAGAAUUCAGUGAAUCAUCGAAUCUUUGAACGCACAUUGCGCCCCUUGGUAUUCCAUGGGGCAUGCCUGUUCGAGCGUCAUUUGUACCUUCAAGCUUUGCUUGGUGUUGGGUGUUUGUCUCGCCUUUGCGUGUAGACACGCCUUAAAAUAAUUGGCAGCCGGCGUAUUGAUUUCGGAGCGCAGUACAUCUCGCGCUUUGCACUCAUAACGACAGCGUCCAAAAGUACAUUUUACACUCUUGACCUCGGAUCAGGUAGGGAUACCCGCUGAACUUAAGCAUAUCAAUAAGCGGAGGA
rnacentral:misc_RNA from 1 species